GACGAACGCUGGCGGCGUGCUUAAUACAUGCAAGUCAACUGAACUUUAGGUAGCAAUAUUUAAAGGGAGGUGGCGCACGGGUGAGUAACACGUAGGUAAUCUGCCUUCAGGACUGACAUAACUCCGCGAAAGCGGGACUAAAAUCAGAUGAUGCAGCGGCUCGACAUCGAGACAGUUGUUAAACCUUCGGGGCCUGAAGAUGAGCCUGCGUCUGAUUAGGUAGUUGGAGGGGUAAUGGCCCACCAAGCCUGCGAUCAGUAGCUGGUCUGAGAGGAUGAUCAGCCACACUGGAACUGAGACACGGGUCCAGACUCCUACGGGAGCAGCAGUAAGGAAUAUUGCUCAAUGGCCGAAAGGCUGAAGCAGCAACGCCGCGU
rnacentral:rRNA from 1 species